rnacentral:rRNA from 1 species
AAUGGGGGAAACCCUGACGCAGCAACGCCGCGUGGGUGAUGAAGGCCUUCGGGUCGUAAAGCCCUGUCGGGAGGAAAGAAAUGAUAGAGGGCUAAUACCUCUUGAUCUUGACGGUACCUCCGAAGGAAGUACCGGCUAACUCCGUGCCAGCAGCCGCGGUAAUACGGAGGGUGCAAGCGUUGUUCGGAAUUAUUGGGCGUAAAGGGCGCGUAGGCGGUCCUGUCAGCCCGGCGUGAAAACCUGGCGCUCAACUCCGGGCCUGCGCUGGGAACUGCGGGACUAGAGUCAUGGAAGGGAAGUUGGAAUUCCAGGUGUAGGGGUGAAAUCUGUAGAUAUCUGGAAGAACACCGGUGGCGAAGGCGAACUUCUGGCCAAUGACUGACGCUGAGGCGCGAAAGUGCGGGGAGCAAA